UACGUAGGUGGCAAGCGUUGUCCGGAUUUAUUGGGUUUAAAGGGUGCGUAGGCGGUCUUUUAAGUCAGUGCUGAAAUACUCCAGCUUAACUGGAGGGGUGGCAUUGAUACUGGAAGACUUGAGUAUAGUUGAGGUAGGCGGAAUUGACGGUGUAGCGGUGAAAUGCUUAGAUAUCGUCAAGAACACCGAUGGUGAAGACAGCUUACUAAACUAUAACUGACGCUGAGGCACGAAAGUGUGGGGAGCAAACAGG
rnacentral:rRNA from 1 species